AGAGGGUGCGAACGUUGUUCGGAAUUAUUGGGCGUAAAGCGCUUGUAGGCGGCUUGUUAAGUUCCGUGUGAAAUCCCCAGGCUUAACCUGGGAAGUGCGCGGAAAACUGGCGAGCUUGAGUGCCGGAGAGGGUCGCGGAAUUCCCGGUGUAGAGGUGAAAUUCGUAGAUAUCGGGAGGAACACCAGUGGCGAAGGCGGCGACCUGGACGGACACUGACGCUGAGACGCGAAAGCGUGGGGAGCAAACAGGAUUAGAUACCCUGGUAGUCCACGCUGUAAACGAUGGGUGCUAGUUGUGGCGGGUUUUGACCCCUGCCGUGACGCAGCUAACGCAAUAAGCACCCCGCCUGGGAAGUACGGCCGCAAGGCUA
rnacentral:rRNA from 1 species